AAUCAGGAACUAUGCGGACACACGCUGCCUAACCCCGCCAGGUUCGGAAGGAAGCAACGGUAAGUAGAAGAGUGUCGCGCCGUAGCACCCCUGAUUAUA
rnacentral:SRP_RNA from 1 species